GUACUACAAUGCCAGUUAAGAAGUUGAUUUGUUACAUCGGUGUUAACUGCAUUGGGCCAUGGCAAGCUCUUUGCCCACUGGACAGAGGAGUCCAAGGCUUUUUUGAGUGGUGAAUGGCAGCCUGUAUUCCGCCUACGCAAAAGAAAGCUUGAAGAGACAGCGCAAGUACAGGAUGAAUGUGAGGAUGCAUUAACACCGGGAAAAGCAGAAGUAUCUGUCAUUGCACACAUGAAAACAGCCAGUCAGUGGUACAUUGACAAUCAACAACAACUCAUUGGUCUGGUCCAGCUGCCCUAGAUACUGAGCAUGAUAGAGGAAGAUGUUGGGAAGGUUCUGCAGGAGAACCAAGCAAUGAAUGCUGAGGAAGACUUCAGUUUGAACAAAGGUGAUGUCUCUCCCUCUUUCUCAUGCUGCUAUACUCAGAUCUGCCGGAGCCUAGACGAAUAUUGCACUCGAUCAUUUUGCUUGCACUGCCUCUGGUUUCCUCAACUCUGGCUAAUACACAAUUAUUCUUACUUCCUCCCUCACCCCUUCUGGGGUGUGCUCCAUGGAGCACAAUGUCGUUGAAGAGUUUAUGCCUCUGCGGCCUGCAAGACAACUACCUCCACCUCCGGCAACUACCCUCCAACCUGCCUGCCCUUGGCUCAACACGAUGCCUCGCCAUCCAUCCUGCGGCUGUGUGUCUAUUAAUCCUGCCAUCGUGCAUCAAGCACCACGUGCCU